rnacentral:rRNA from 1 species
GACGAACGCUGGCGGCGUGCUUAACACAUGCAAGUCGAACGGAAUGGCCCUGCUUUUGUGGGGUGCUCGAGUGGCGAACGGGUGAGUAACACGUGAGUAACCUGCCCCUGACUUUGGGAUAACUUCAGGAAACUGGGGCUAAUACCGGAUAGGAGCUCCUGCUGCAUGGUGGGGGUUGGAAAGUUUCGGCGGUUGGGGAUGGACUCGCGGCUUAUCAGCUUGUUGGUGGGGUAGUGGCUUACCAAGGCUUUGACGGGUAGCCGGCCUGAGAGGGUGACCGGCCACAUUGGGACUGAGAUACGGCCCAGACUCCUACGGGAGGCAGCAGUGGGGAAUAUUGCACAAUGGGCGGAAGCCUGAUGCAGCAACGCCGCGUGCGGGAUGACGGCCUUCGGGUUGUAAACCGCUUUCGCCUGUGACGAAGCGUGAGUGACGGUAAUGGGUAAAGAAGCACCGGCUAACUACGUG